UACGUAGGAGGCAAGCGUUAUCCGGAUUUACUGGGCGUAAAGAGGACGUAGGCGGCCUUUCAAGUCGGGUGUAAAAUCUCCCAGCUUAACUGGGAGGGAUCAUUCGAUACUGUUGGGCUAGAGUGCAGCAGAGGGAGGUGGAAUUCCCGGUGGAGUGGUGAAAUGCGUAGAUAUCGGGAGGAACACCAGUGGCGAAAGCGACCUCCUGGGCUGUUACUGACGCUGAGGUCCGAAAGCGUGGGGAGCGAACAGGAUUAGAUACCCCCGUA
rnacentral:rRNA from 1 species